rnacentral:rRNA from 1 species
ACUCCUACGGGAGGCAGCAGUAGGGAAUUUCCGCAAUGGACGAAAGUCUGACGGAGCAAUGCCGCGUGAGUGAUGAAGGUUUUCGAAUCGUAAAGCUCUGUUGUAAGGGAAGAAUAGCAAGGAUAGGAAAUGAUCCUUGUCUGACGGUACCUUACCAGAAAGCCACGGCUAACUACGUGCCAGCAGCCGCGGUAAUACGUAGGUGGCAAGCGUUAUCCGGAAUUAUUGGGCGUAAAGCGCAUGUAGGCGGCUUUUUUAAGUCUGGUGUGAAAGCCUGUGGCUCAACCACAGAAUUGCAUUGGAUACUGGAAAGCUAGAAUCUUGGAGAGGUAAGUGGAAUUUCAUGUGUAGCGGUGGAAUGCGUAGAUAUAUG